GCCAGCCACCGUGUCAUGAGGACAUUUAAGCAGCCCUAGAGAGAGGUCCGAAAGCUUUCCCCAGGCAGAAUCACAAGGUGGAGAUGCCAGGACUCAGCCUGAGUGUGGGGGAGAGUUGCUCCAGCCAGUCUGAGCUCUGUGGCCUUUUGGGGCCCCACUAUUCGCUCUGCUACAGGGUUGUCAUUCUGAAAGAAGAGAAAAGAAAAUUCAAAAGCAGCUUGGAUCAAAGAACCAUAUCUCAUUGACAAAGGAGACAGAGAGUGAGGGGAAUGCCAGAGAGCUAAUCAUCAGUGCUCAGCCAACAGCAAUGCCUGCGACACGCCUGCUCUGAAACGCAAGUGACCAGACAGAUUGAAGCAGACUGAAGGGGCACGUUUUCAUAUCAGGUCGUGCUGUAGCAUUCUUGGAAAACUCAAGUACAGCUGGUAUGAGCAGAGCCCAGAAAGCCACUGUCUAAAAGAAAAGAUGAGAAACAAGCCGUAAAUUGGUGUAAGAAGUGAAUACAGGGAAAACUUGGAGUGACUGAUGAUGACUGAGUUUUGUGAGCAUAUCUCUACAUAAUCUUUUCCCAAAUUUAUUUCAUUUGAUAUAUUUUAAUAUAUUCAAGAGUGUUUACAAGUUGCUGGUGUUUAAAAACAAAAACAAAAACUUCUUUAUAGGAAAUAUCCCCCCAUCCACCUCAUUGACUAUACAAUCAUGUACUGUUUUUUAAUUUUAAUUUUUAUAUUUUUUGAGUCAGGGUCUCAUAGAC